rnacentral:tRNA from 1 species
GCCUCUGUAGCUCAGCCGGUAAGGCUAAAGCAAGUCUUUGCCUCAGCAAAGAGCGUUACCUUGGUAAGGUAAAGGUCCCGAGUUCAAAACGACUGUAUCGUUCGUCGACACCUGGGCGUACAUCGACUUUGUCGAGUACACCUGUCAGACAAAACAUCGAUACUUUCCUGAAAGUCUCGGCAGAGGCU